rnacentral:rRNA from 1 species
GAUGAACGCUGGCGGCGUGCCUAAUACAUGCAAGUCGAGCGAACAGACGAGGAGCUUGCUCCUCUGACGUUAGCGGCGGACGGGUGAGUAACACGUGGAUAACCUACCUAUAAGACUGGGAUAACUUCGGGAAACCGGAGCUAAUACCGGAUAAUAUAUUGAACCGCAUGGUUCAAUAGUGAAAGACGGUUUUGCUGUCACUUAUAGAUGGAUCCGCGCCGCAUUAGCUAGUUGGUAAGGUAACGGCUUACCAAGGCAACGAUGCGUAGCCGACCUGAGAGAGUGAUCGGCCACACUGGAACUGAGACACGGUCCAGACUCCUACGGGAGGCAGCAGUAGGGAAUCUUCCGCGAUGGGCGAAAGCCUGACGGAGCAACGCCGCGUGAGUGAUGAAGGUCUUCGGAUCGUAAAACUCUGUUAUUAGGGAAGAACAAAUGUGUAAGUAACUAUGCACGUCUUGACGGUACCUAAUCAGAAAGCCACGGCUAACUACGUG